CAAUGCUCCUUCAUCAAUCAUCCCUCUUUAAAACCCUCCCUUGCCAGAACCCCACACAAUUUGUAUUUAUCUGAACCUCAAAAAUGGCCGUCUCAUUCUAAUUUUACCCUCCACAUACCUCAAAACCCCACUCUCCACCGUCCUCUCCACAUCUCAAACGUCCUCUGCAACCCCAAACCCACCACCACCACCACCACCACCACCACCACCACCGUCGUAAACCCCAAAACCUCUAUUUCUCGAUUCUCGAAGACAAACUCAGAUUGGGUUCUAAUGUACUCGUCAAAGUCCUCCAAAUCGUGACAAUGCAUUGCUCGACUGAGUCCUCAUUGUUCCGUUGUCGGGCAAGUCCAGAGAGGAGUGAUCGGCAGACGAAACGCCAAUUGUAGUAUUACCUUCCAGUAUUGCCGAGCCCAGUAGCGUGGGCUUGUAACCAAUGCGGGGCAUUAAAGUGGUUUUCUAUUUGAUCAUUUCAUAUCCACUUAACUUUGGGAAAGGAGCUGAGCAUAAGCUAGACUUUUUUCAUCUUGGAGGCAGGAACUAGAUGAGCAUAAAAGGAAUUGCUCAUUGAGUUACUAGACUUUUGGAGAUGCUAUUCCUCCUCAAAGGUGCUGGACAAGUUGACCAGGAGUAAUGCGAUAAUAAGUACUGGUAUUGGGCAGCAUAGAAUGUGGAUGGCACAGUUUAACAAGUAUAAUAGGUCAAUUGGGAUUAAUGGGUUUUGGGUUGCCUGCUGGAGCUGCUGUUACAAGGUCGGUUGUGGACAUUGAUGGCGAUGGAAUUUUUAUCAUGAAUGUCCAGGAGGAGUUGACAGUUUGGCUGGAGAAUCUUCCCAAUUAGAUCACAUUACGGGAUGAUUCGCAUUUGGGGUAAUGGUUGUCCGAUGGGAGUAUCAGUUCUAUAAGGCUAAUAGGCCCACACAUAUCUAGGUAAACCAUCAAAUGAGAAAAAUUCCCAGAUGUAUUAAAGUUUGCAGAAGCUUACGAGACACCUGCUACCCUUGUGAUGAAGAAAGGAGAUCUCAGGACUGCAAGUUUGGAAAUGUUGGAUACACCUGGGCCAUACUUAUGUGAUGUUGUCAUACCUCGUCAAGAGCAUGUCCUCACUAUGAUCCCCAGUGAUGGAUCCUUCAAAGUCAAAGAUGUGAUUACUAAGGAGAUCAAUAUAUUGACGAGCAAAUCUUGGCUCAAACUCAACGAUUCUAAACUUGCCAAAAAAAGGUUGUCGUGUUGGAAAAGAUUUGAUCUUCGCUACCUACUAGAGGAACGAAACGUUUCAUCUAUCUCGGAGAUGGAAGUGCUGAUUUUUGCGUGGGUUUGACGCUUGAAGAAUUAUCUGAUGCGAAGGAAGAACUUUCCGUUGUGGGAGAUCAUUAGCAGCAACCCAGAGCUUGUCAAGGCAGAGAUUCGUGAAUGGUGUGACGGAGAGGAGUUCCGGAGUACCUUACUCCAUCUUAUUGACAAAAUCUCCAUUGAAGAGAAUUGGAGAGGUGAAUUUGUAAGUUGCAUACAAAUUCUGUACCUACACAUGAACCCUUCCAAAAUGCUAUACCAGUUUGUGGAGGGAAAAAGCCCCACCAGUCAUAACACAUCACGUGGCGGUGAAAAGCAGCCCACAACCAAAUUAAGAUAACUAGAAGCUCACAAUCAGUGGAAGGCCCAACAGAGGAGGCCUUAUGCAUGUACCAGUUCAGCUCAAUUAAAAUGAAAGAAGUUUUACUUUACACAAGGGCUGAAUGGGCGGCCCAGUCUUAACAAGGCCCAAAUUCCAUAACGCUUGCCAUAAUGAUGUAUGCAUGAUCAGUAGGCAUAAUUACUCACGUUUGGGAAUAAAAGCCAAGAAACGGCUCCAUGUAAAUCUCUGAGAAAAAACUUAUAAAUAGAGCCUGAAUGAGAAUGAAGAGGCAUCGAAUUCCCAAUA